AGCCACAGAGCACCUCUCAGGCUCUGACAUGGGGCUGGGACAGCUAGGGAGCUCUCUGGUCCACUCAGGCUGCUGGUGGGUUUAGGUAGUGUCCACAUGCCACUUGAGGUGUCCUACCUGUUCUGUUCCACCUAUUCCUGGGCCAUGUGGUGGAGUUGCUGUGGAUCCCUCGCCUCGGGAGGAAGGUGCCAACCAGAGGUCAGGAGUCACUAAUCGACCGCUUAUUACUUAUGCCCAGGGCCGGCCCUGCCCUUGGUAAUGGUUUUACUGCCCAAGCCUGUGAUUGCAUCCCCUGCCUACCUCUGUCCCCCAUGCUCAGUAACUGGAAUCUGUCCCUGCAGACACACUGUAGAGCAGGGCCGGCUGGUUACUGCGCCCUGGGGUCAGGCUGCUCGCCCUGGCUGCUCACUCUUUUAGAGGACUCACUGGGGAGUUAUAUGUACUGUAUAUAGUUUGCAUGUGGGAGUUUUUUGUUUGUAUAGCUAUAUCACUUACUGCAUAUCAGCAUUUGGACUCACAUCUGUAGUGUUAAGGCAGGAGUGGCCGGCGCAGUGACAUUGAUUACAUUGUAAUGUGUAAUACAAUACCUAUGUGGUAAUACAAUACCUCAUGGUGGUAAUACAAUACCUCAUGGUGGUAAUACAAUACCUCAUGGUGGUAAUACAAUACCUAUGUGGUAAUACAAUACCUCAUGGUGGUAAUACAAUACCUCAUGGUGGUAAUACAAUACCUCAUGGUGGUAAUACAAUACCUCAUGGUGGUAAUACAGUACCUCAUGGUGGUAAUACAAUACCUCAUGGUGGUAAUACAAUACCUCAUGGUGGUAAUACAAUACCUCAUGGUGGUAAUACAAUACCUAUGUGGUAAUACAAUACCUCAUGGUGGUAAUACAAUACCUCAUGGUGGUAAUACAAUACCUCAUGGUGGAUCCAUGAGGUGAACCAGUGAACAUCACAUUUAGAUUUGAAUCAUUUAGCAGAUGCUCUUGUCAAGAGUGACUUACAGGUAGCUAGGUGGGAGAACCACAUAUCACAAGUAUCAUAAGUAGAGUCAGAGCUAAAGAAGGGGGGGGUUAUUUAAGAGUGUUUGAAGAGGAAGGGUUUCAGAAGUUUUCGGAAGUUGGGUAGGGUAUGUAUGUGUGAACCACGCAACACUUGCAAAUAAAGGACCAUCAACUCCAUUUUAUGUCUGGACAUGACCGUAUUAUUAUUAUUGAACAUAUGGGCAAUUACAUCUGUUUUUCCAACCAGUUGCACUUCUAACUGGUUUUGUUGUAGUCCUGGGAUACUAUUUCCUACUUUGUUUAUUUAGCAGUGUGAAUGUUAACUUAGAGCUGAGCUGGUGUAAGUCUGGGGAGGGGGAAGAAGGGGGAGGGGAGAGAAGGGCCAGGUGUGAUGGUGUCAAGACUCGUCAGGAGCAGUCAGGAGGUGCUGACUGUGGAGCCUGUAUGGUGUCACCUUCCACACCUUCAGAGGUGAGCAGCAGGACCUGUAGCUGCAGCUGUAGAAACAUCCUGCCCAAGAGGAGACACCCUCAAGACAAAGGCCCUACCGAGGAGACAGCAUCUACAAACAACCACACAUCAUCACAAACACUUCCUUCAGCAGGCAAGUGGGGCCAUGCCUUUUCCCAACAGUAGCUCAGUGUUAGGUUUGUCCACUAGGAGGCGAGAGGGAGACAUGUUUAUAGUGCAGGUGUGGUCAGACUAAGUUCUCCAAUGACCUCAAUGCUGUCGGAUGCUCUUCCAUAAUGAUUGUAAGGGAUUGUAAAAGUAAACAAAACAAUUGUGGCAGUGAACAUGAUUCUUUAGCUCCAUAAAGUUUAUUGUUGAUUUUUUUCUCCCACUUUAAAUAAUAAGUGUCUGUGCAAACUUUGACUGUGUAUUAAUAAGUGCAUGUAUGCAUGAUGAAAUAAAUACGUGGUACUCCUUUGUCACCACACUCCACAUGUCAGUGCAUCAUGACAUGAGCCACA